rnacentral:rRNA from 1 species
AGUGAACGCUGGCGGUAGGCCUAACACAUGCAAGUCGAACGGCAGCACAGUAAGAGCUUGCUCUUACGGGUGGCGAGUGGCGGACGGGUGAGGAAUACAUCGGAAUCUACUUUUUCGUGGGGGAUAACGUAGGGAAACUUACGCUAAUACCGCAUACGACCUACGGGUGAAAGCAGGGGAUCUUCGGACCUUGCGCGAUUGAAUGAGCCGAUGUCGGAUUAGCUAGUUGGCGGGGUAAAGGCCCACCAAGGCGACGAUCCGUAGCUGGUCUGAGAGGAUGAUCAGCCACACUGGAACUGAGACACGGUCCAGACUCCUACGGGAGGCAGCAGUGGGGAAUAUUGGACGAUGGGCGCAAGCCUGAUCCAGCCAUACCGCGUGGGUGAAGAAGGCCUUCGGGUUGGAAAGCCCUUUUGUUGGGAAAGAAAAGCAGCAGGUUAAUACCCCGCUGUUCUGACGGUACCCAAAGAAUAAGCACCGGCUAACUUCGUG